UGAGAGAAUUGAACAGCGUCGUGUUCCUGCGCCGGGUUGAGCUAAACUAUACUCUGUAAUUAAUCACAGGGAAAACCUGAACAGUUACCUUGUGUACACUACCUGCGGGUGCUGUGAAACAUAUGGGCGGCUGGUGAACAAUGCACAGUAAACAAUUGCCGUUGGAUGUGAGGAAUCUGCAAAGCUGACUGUGAAUGAACAACUCGGACAGUCUGCCUCUCCUUAUGUCUUCCGCAAGAAGAAAGCCUCAAAGGAACAGCACGCAGCUCCUGUAUGACUCCCAACAGCACUUUGAUGGUUUCUUGACUGGAACUGAUCAGACCCUCCAUGGCUUGAAGCCUGGCUUUCACAUUCCCAUCCG